rnacentral:rRNA from 1 species
AUUGAACGCUGGCGGAAUGCUUUACACAUGCAAGUCGAACGGCAGCACGGACUUCGGUCUGGUGGCGAGUGGCGAACGGGUGAGUAAUGUAUCGGAACGUGCCCAGUCGUGGGGGAUAACGUAGUGAAAAUUACGCUAAUACCGCAUACGAUCUAUGGAUGAAAGCGGGGGAUCGCAAGACCUCGCGCGAUUGGCGCGGCCGAUAUCAGAUUAGGUAGUUGGUGGGGUAAAGGCCCACCAAGCCCACGAUCUGUAGCUGGUCUGAGAGGACGACCAGCCACACUGGAACUGAGACACGGUCCAGACUCCUACGGGAGGCAGCAGUGGGGAAUUUUGGACAAUGGGCGAAAGCCUGAUCCAGCCAUUCCGCGUGCAGGAUGAAGGCCCUCGGGUUGUAAACUGCUUUUGUACAGAACGAAAAGGUUUCUACUAAUACUAGGAGCUCAUGACGGUACUGUAAGAAUAAGCACCGGCUAACUACGUGCCAGCAGCCGCCGUAA